rnacentral:misc_RNA from 1 species
GGCAAAGGUAGUUUUCUUUAACUGAUUUUCAGGGUUUGGUGCAUUGCCUAUUGGCUACCUGGACUACUGUAAUUUGAUUUACACCAACUACACAAGCUUCCAAUGCUCCUUUGGUGGCUACAUGUGCAAGAUUGAAUUAAAGAUCAACUACAACCAAGCAAUGGUGGAUAUCUACCAUAAUUUAUAAUAAAUUUUUUUGACAGGUGGAUGGCCUAGUCUUUUUUCCUUCCUCUUCAAGAUUAAUCUGUGGGCUUCGGAAAACUUGAAGCCAAGAAAGAAAACAGAUAAGGAAGUCUCUGGAUUGAAAGAAAGUGCCUCUCUUUUCAAGCAUCCAUAAUCCAUAUCCUUAAACAAAAUUUAAGCUAACAACAGUAGUACUGAUGGAAAUGGUGGCUUUAGCCAUAAUCCAUCCACGUCAUGGCAACUUAACUUGGCAUUCCCAAUCUGAUGACAUGUAAAGCAUUCCAAUGACGUAAAAUCCCAUUUUAAUUUUAUAUAUAUACACAUAUAAGUGCG